rnacentral:lncRNA from 1 species
AUUUUGUUUAUUUUUUUAAAUAUGAAUACAAAUACGAAUAUAUACGUUGAUCACUAAUUUUUUAUUUCGAUCGGAGUUUAUUUAUACUAUUUUUACCCGUAGUGCCCCAACUAUGACAUAAGCUUAGUUUGGUAUUGAGACUUAUCUAACGUUAUUAGAUAAAGUAGAGUUUAGAAAAAAAUAUAUAAAAAUAUUCUUGUGCAUUUUUCGAUGGGCCGUAAAAAAUAUAUCGUAACUGACUCAUCGUAAUAUGCGAAACGCCGUAUGAAAAGAAAUAGAAUAUUUUUUCAACGUAUAUUUUUACUGUACGUAACGCAAUCUCUCCGUAAUUCCAAACGAAGCCAUAGAAGCAGUCAAGCAGAUCAACUGUGG